UGUUGUGUGUGUAGACACCGCUCUGUGCCCUGCUGAGAGGAUUUUCACUGUACUUUAUUCUGGGUAGUGUUUUUACAGUACAAAAAACAACGAAAUUAUUCUUUACACUAUCGGAUUAUCUAAUUACUAAGUGCUAGCUACCUUACAAUGAAGGCUGUUUGUUUCCGUCAAGCUGACCCUAAAGCCGUCCAGGUACUGUGGGAAGCCAUCACAAAUGUCCGCCAACAAAAGCAAGUGGCUAACCUGGAACGUAUCGCACGAUAUCUGAUAAGGCAGCAUGGCUACGCCUAUAAAUAUGUCCAGCAACAACUUGCACUUGCUGUUAAAGAUGAACUGGUUGUCAAAGAUAUCUCGCGUUCAAAAAAGGGUUCUCGUGCAGGCUCAGAACAAGAAGGGUUCUGGUGUGUUAAAGCACAGGAGGAAGAGAGUGACGCUAGCCAUGAUUGGUACUGUAUAGAAUGCCACAAGGGUGGGGAUGUGGUUUGUUGUUCCAGUUGCCACAGGGUGUGUCACAUUGAAUGUCUGGCAGAAGAAGACCAGGAGAAGCAAGAGUGGACGUGUCAGGUUUGUCAAGGAGGAAAGAAAUGCAAACUUGGACUCAGCAAAUCAGAAAUAAGCGACAUGAUUUCACAUGUGCUGGCAAGAAUGAAAGAAAAGGCAGCCAGAGAGUUGCAGAAAAAAUUGAAUUUGGAUGAUAUGCCCAACUAUUAUAAUUUGGUCUACAAACAUAUGGAUUUUAACAUAAUGAUGCAGAAAAUAGAGAACGAAGAAUACCAAACACUUGAGGAAUUCCAAGGAGAUGCUGAAACGGUUCUGCAUGUAGCUGCAGUCUAUCAUGGCGUUGAUAGUGAUAAGGCUGAACUCUGUAGGAUUGUCUUGGAAGACUGCAAGUACGAUCUUGAUGAGGUGCGUAUCUGUAAGGAUUGCUAUGAGGCAUCCAAUUCAAGAAAAGAUAGCAUGUGGUUUUGCCGGCCUUGUGAUCCAGUCCAUGAGGCGGUAUGGGCACAGUUGAAAGGUUUUGGAUACUGGCCAGCUAAAGUACUGCGGAAACAAGCUGGUCAAGUCGAUGUUCGCUUCUUCGGUAGCCGUCACCAACGUGCCUGGAUUUCUGAGGUGAAUAUUAAACCAAUUGACACAAAUGUGAAGACAAUCAACGUGAAGAUGACCUCAUCUUGGAAAAAUGCCAAGAAGGAAAUGGAUAACUACAUGAAGAAUUGUGGGAUUAAGAAACCAAGGAAAAGACCUCGGGAAGAAAACAGUAGUGAAAGUGAACAAUCUAUUUCCAGUUCAAUUAACAUUCCCAACGCUGACCAGGAUCAUGCCGUGUCAACUAGCCAAGCUUUGUCAGAGGACGAACCUCCUGCUCUAAAAAAGUGUCGAAAUAUUAAUGUAGUUGAAGAACUUACACCUGUUAUAAAUAAGGAAAGCGGCUGUGAAUGCCACGAAAAAUACAGCACGAUCUUCUCAGAUUUUAAAGCACGCUUAGAGUUGGAGCAUCAAACAAGUAAAGAAAGGGCAGUCACCUCAGCUGUUGACAAGCUUAAGAAGAAAAUGGAAGAAGAGAAAAAGAAAGCUGUUUUGGCAGAACGUGAAAGCAUGCAAAAAGAGUUGACGAGAAUAACCGAGGAGUUCGAUAGAUACAAGGAAGAGACAGAGGAAGAAGCAAAAUUAUUGAUGGAGAAGCACAGAGAGGAAAUAUCCAACACCAAAAAGCGCCAGUGGUGCAUCAAUUGUGAACAAGAGGCAAUGUAUCAUUGUUGUUGGAACACAUCAUAUUGCAGCAUCAACUGCCAACAAGGUCACUGGCACAAGGAACACAAGAAACUCUGUCGACGCAAACGUUAACAAUAUCACCAUACAAGAAACGUUAAUAUUACUACAGAAGCAUUGUAUAUACAGCAGAUUUAUAUAAAUGUUAUAUAAUUUUCAUUCAUUGACAUAAAUAUUUCACAUAUUUUUGUUGUUAUUUGGCACCAUUUUGAUUGUUGAUAUUUUUUUUAUAGUUUAACCACCUUUCUCAGAAACUGUUUCAUUAUUUUAGAAUAUUGAGCAGCUACUGUAAGUGAUAGUCUGUGCUUGUGUGUGUGUGUAUAUACUGACGCCGAAGAGAGUAAAAGUAUUAAGUUUAACGAUAUUUCCAUAAAGGUAUAUAACUGUUUGAUAGAAAUUUAUAUGAGAUUAUUUUAUAAUCAACAGUAGAGUCAAAAUGUCAAUUAGUGGUAUUUCAUUGCAGCUGAUUCACAUACAUCUACUAAUUCAUAAUCUUUUGGUAGAUCUUUUCAGCACUAUCAGUUUAACAGUGUUUUAUGGUACUGUAAUUUUUGUCUUAUAUAUCUAUUACUCAAUAUAAUUGGUUUUUUUUGCUGCUGGCAUCUCAAGAUUUAAAAAAAAACGAUUGUGGGUCUGUCCAGCUAACUUGUUUAAGGCUCUCGAUAGAGAGAUUUCGCACACGAACGAAUACGAUGAUGUUACACUAACCGUAUGCGUUCGCAUGCGAAACUGCCCUAUUACCUGAGAUUUUUACCCAAAGUUCUACAUUAGCUUUUAAUGUUCCAGAACAAGGGCUUAUGGCUUUAGCAGUAUGUUUUUCAUCAGUUCAUAGUAGGUUUAUAUGUCAAGUACACUGUGCUUAGUGUAAGUUCACUACUUUUGCGUUAGUGUCCUAUAUCCUAAGUACAGUACUAAGUUGAAUUUAAUUGCAUCAAUUUUACUAAAUUUUGUACGGCAAUUUGACAAAAACAUAUCAACGAUUACUAAGUUGAAUUUAAUUGCACCACUUUUACUAAAUUUUGUACUGCAAUUUGACAAAAACAUAUCAACGAUUACUAAGUUGAAUUUAAUUGCACCACUUUUACUAAAUUUUGUACUGCAAUUUGACAAAAACAUUAUGACGAUUACUAAGUUGAACUUGUAUUUACUGUAAAUAUUCCAGAAUGUGGAAACAGCUUUAGCUUCUUAUGAUUAUCUUAAAUAAUGAAGUACUAUCAUAAAAUAAUGAGAACUCAUAAUACUCUCUACUCAGUAGUUUGAGGUGGUAUAAAUUGUACAUUGUGUAAAUUUAUAAAUAUCUAUAUAUUUGUCAUUAGUAUGUUAGCUUCUCUAGCAUUGCUCCCACUUAUCCUGGUUUAUUCAGGAAUCUAAUCACUUUUAACAUGGACCAUCCUGGUUUUCCAGGUGUGAUUUCUGUAUAUUAUUGUCACAUUUUAGAAAAAAAAAAAGUGUACAUAUGUAGGGAUAUACUGUCUUGUUUCAGCUAAUAAACAAUACAAUUUAAAUUAUGAAUUGCUUAACUUUUGUAAGUAAAAUAUUAGCUCCAAUUAAAGAUUAAUAAGAAAACAAUUGUUUUACUUGGCAAUUGACAGGCACAACUAACAAUCAAAUAAGCCAUCUUGUUGUUUUAAGUAUGCAUGUCAUGUCAAAGGUCAUGGCAUAAAAAGCAUUUAUAUUGCUUAUAUUAUUGUCUGCAUUUUUGUUCCAUUAUAUACUUACAGUUUGUUGACAUUUACUGUAAAUAUUAACCAAUAGCGGUAGCCAAUCUUUAAUAACUUAAUUAACUACCAAAUGGGUUGGGUUAAAAAAUAAUUUGUGUUUGCCCAAGCCUAGUUGACCCUAAUUUUUGUAAUGAAAACAAAACAAACCAGAAAACAGCUCUGAUUUCAAAAUGUCACUAUGCUUAAGCAAAUACAAUAUUUUUUUGGCCUUAUUUUUAGUAUUUUUGUGUAGACCCCUAAAUUGACUAUUUUCUUGUAUAAACGGAUUUGUUUGAACAUCUAAUUUGACAUUCAUAACUCAUUUUAUAUACUGUAUGUAAAUGAGCAAUUCAGUGUUUUAAUUAAAUGUUUGUAAUUAAAAAAAAAAAAUUACAAUAUGUAUCACUUACAAUGUCAAAAUAUGAGAAUGUUUCUAUUUUUCCAUGAAUAUUUUGUUAAAAUCGAGUUCGAAACAAAAUAUUCAACAAUAAUUUUUGUUUUGAUUUAAUUUCCUUCCAUUAUUUUGUCUUAGGUACAAUUGUCGAUUUAAAUUUUCUUUUUAAUAGAUUAGUUUUUUCUCUAUAAAAUGACUGGCGUGUAGUGACAACAUGUUUUAAAUCCUAUAGAUACUUAAUUGUUUUUUUCUGGCUUUGGUGCCUUAGAAUGUUUUUUCAAAAGAAGUGGUUAAAAACCGAUGAUUUAAUUUUUAAGAAAUUGAUUUAAAAAAUGAUUAAGAUAGCACUAUUUCUUGAAGUGGUGCUUUAUAUGAAUUUGUUAUUUAGCUUUUGUUUUUUGUGUAAUAUACUUUUUUCUUUGGCCAGUGUAUACAUUGAGUGUAGAGAAGGUUUGGUUUACCAUGUAGUAUCACAUUAGUAUUCCUCAGUUCCUGAAAUAUUAUUCACUGCAGACAAGACUCUAUAGAAUCCAGUUUGAACAAAUUUAGAAUUGAGAUGUAAUGGGUCAACAAGGAAAUUGAAUAGGUUUAUGAUAGAUUGGAACAUGUUUAAAGAGGUUACGAAUUAAUGAGUAUAAGCAUCCAUUUUGAAGAGGUGAAUGACCUAGAUUGAGGUUGUGUAUGUCCAGUUUGAACAGGUUAAGGAUCCAAUUUGAAGACGUUAAUGACCUAGAUUGAGGUUGUGUAUCCAGUUUGAACAGGUUAACAAUCCAGGUUUAACAGGUUUAUGUGCAGAAAGUAAAUUCCAAUUGAUGUGUAUGUUCACUGGCUUUAGAGUAACAUUCCAUGUAUAUAAUACAUAAAAAUAUAUAUUAAUUUAUCUAAUAUACGGUUAAGGCAUAUUCAACAUUUUGAUACAUUUGUAAAUGCAUACAUCUGAAACUCUAAAAUAGUAGCAUGAAAUGUUAUUAUUUUAUUAUUUUUUAAUACUGUAGUAAGAAAUAUGAAAAAUAUAUUCACUAGGAGGACAAUAAGACUAAAUACUAACAUUGAUCAUAGGUUAAAUGAAUUAUACUUGUUAAGCAAGUGUUAAAAACCAGAUCAUCUUAAAAAUCAUGAUUUUUGCUUUUCCUGGCUAAGGCACAAUGCCAUAAUAAUUGUAAAUGAUAUAUAUACAGUGAAUGCAAGCAGUAUUUUCAUUCUGUGAAUAAAUUUAAAUUAGAUAUUGAA
rnacentral:misc_RNA from 1 species